GGCUGGGUAGCUCAGUUGGCAGAGCAGCGGACUGAAAAUCCGCGUGUCGGCGGUUCGAUUCCGCCCCCAGCCA
rnacentral:tRNA from 1 species